UGCUGCUGCUGCUGCAGCAGUAGCUGCUGCUGCUGCUAUUGCUGCAGUAGCUGCUGCUGCUGCUGCUGCUGUAGCCGCUGCUGCUGCUGCUGCUGCUGCUGCAGUAGCUGCUGCUGCUGCUGCAGUAGCUGCUGCUGUUGCUGCAGUAGCUGCUGCUGCUGCUGCUGCUGCGGUAGCUGCUGCAGCAACUGCUGCUGCUGCUGCUGCUGCUGCAGCAGCUAAAUAACGCUUUUUGAAA
rnacentral:sRNA from 1 species